ensembl:lncRNA
CUGUGACCCAUUUGUGUGCAUGGAUGUGUGCGUGUUUUUCACAGAACUGCAGCUCAGACAACGCUGAGGAUUUUCAGUAUCCUCCGGCAGCAGUCAAACCAGGUAAACUGCUGUGACACCAGAAUGAUUACUACCAGAAGCACCUCCCUGCAACUUGCAUUCUAGGAGAACAGUUUGAAUACUUUCUCUCGUGAAAAGUGAAAUAGCACAGCGGAUGCCCACAGAUGCUAAGGACAGUGGAUUUAUGUCCUGGAUGAUGGUCACACCCUGAAUCCUGGUAGUUCAAUGGCUGCCUCUCAAAGAGACACAGUGUGAAGGUUACCUGCAUCAGGACUGUGAGGCUGGCAGGAGUUAGAAGUUCUGCAUGUGGGAGAGAGGUGCCCCAGUCUGAAGAUGCUCAACGAUGCUUCUGUACACGAGGCACUACUGAAAGAUGAAGUGGCUCUUUGAACAGUAAGGCAUAUAUAAUGGCACCCCAGUUUAAAGCCACUUGGUUCAGAGAGUGCAACUGUGAGAGCUGAACCCUCCCAAGCAGAGCAGUGUGGAGCAGAGGAAGCACUACAAACUCUGGAAGUGUCUCUUCGGCAUUGCCCUCCUCUUGUCGUGGUGUUUGCUGCUCUCAGCUUUUCCAUAGCUUUCGGAUCAGCCAGGCAACCUGAGUGGAUUGCAGGCAGAUGCAGUGUGAACGUUUUUCACACAGAGCAGAUUCUGAAGUACGUGUAGUGGAAAUGCUAAGUCAUGGCUUGAAGCAGUGAUUGAGCACCUGGUGGGAAGGCAGGGCCAACCCAGGGGAGCUCAGGUGCAUGCAGUGUACCUGAGUGACCAGAAGGGGUGGAGCCAGGAUCCACCCCUUCCCAGACCUCAUUUAAGGGUUAGCAGUGGAGGCAAGGAUAUCUUGUUGGCCAUUCCUGCCUACUGGAAGCCUUCCAAAGGACCCAGAAUAACUGUGCAUGCUUCCAAAAUGUUACCACAGCUGAGGUUCAUCCUUGAACUCUGGUGGUCUGGAACAACUGCCUUACCAGUUCUCUCUGACAGAUGUAGUCUGACUCAAUCACAAGCAAACUGUGCAACAGACAGAACAGUAUAUUUAACCCCAGAGUGUUCAUCAGAUGAAACAGGCCAUGGAAACAAUGACAUUUAAGUGCUACUUGUAAUCUUCAUCAUUGGCCACCUCAAGCUAUUUGCAUCUCCCUUCUGGCAGCUGACUGAGUGUAACUUUCCUGGGAAGAGCUGUGUACUAUUCAAGCCACAUCUAAAACUCAAGAUGAACGGAGACAAGGUUUUGCUGUCAUAAGACAUCAGUGGGUCUGCUCGAGAUUUAGAGACUACUUUUAUCCUGUUACACUAAUGUGCUUCAGUGUGGAUGUGACCAGAAGAAAACCACCACACAUUGAAGCUAUUUAAAGAAUCUGAGAGUAACUGAUGGUCUUCAGUGCCUGCAGUUCAAUAAAAGUGUAAUGCUGUCAAAUCAUAAAACAGCUGAGCUGAGCUGUUUAGUUCUCUAAGGGUGCAUAUCCUUUUUCCUUUCCCUUUGUCAACUGACUGAAGCUACCUACUACUUGUAAGUACUUCUUCAGUGACUAAUCUCUGGACUUUGUCUUUUCACUCUUUUUUAUUCAUUGAGAUGUUUUUCCUGAAAGUCAGAGAGCAUAAGGAGUUAUGCUCUACUCUCAUUUGCAUCAUCACUGUUUGAAGCUUCCUGGAAUCCCUAUUAGGGAUAAUAGAGAUAAUUAGCCUAAAAGUAUUAAAAAAAAAAAAAAAAAAAAAAAAAAAA